UACGUAGGCAGCGAGCGUUGUUCGGAGUUACUGGGCGUAAAGGGUGUGUAGGCGGUUCUUUAAGUUUGGUGUGAAAUCUCCCGGCUCAACCGGGAGGGUGCGCCGAAUACUGAGGGACUAGAGUACGGGAGAGGAAAGUGGAAUUCCUGGUGUAGCGGUGAAAUGCGUAGAUAUCAGGAGGAACACCGGUGGUGUAGACGGCUUUCUGGACCGUAACUGACGCUGAGACACGAAAGCGUGGGGAGCAAACGGG
rnacentral:rRNA from 1 species